rnacentral:rRNA from 1 species
UACGUAGGGUGCGAGCGUUGUCCGGAAUUACUGGGCGUAAAGGGCUUGUAGGUGGUUUGUCGCGUUGUUCGUGAAAUGCCACAACUCAAUUGUGGGCGUGCGGGCGAUACGGGGCAGACUGGAGUACUGCAGGGGAGACUGGAAUUCCUGGUGUAGCGGUGGAAUGCGCAGAUAUCAGGAGGAACACCGGUGGCGAAGGCGGGUCUCUGGGCAGUAACUGACGCUGAGGAGCGAAAGCGUGGGGAGCGAACAGG